GCCCACGGUUUUCGAGUCUUCGCGAUUGCCCCAUGGCUUAACGGAAGAAAGCUCGAGGGAGUGAGAGAGGAGGGAGAAACGGCCGGGAGAUUGAGCGGCGUGGCAUCCCGCAUCAUGGGCGACAACGGCGUCGCCGCCCGAUCCGCCGCCUCCGCACUUCGGUCGCGCUCCGGCAUGGUUUGGGACAACGGCACCCCUUAUCCGGAGCCCUGCAUAGAUCGCCUCGCUCCCACCGUCGGAAAGCGUUGGCGUGGCUGUGCUGAGCUUCUUCGCGUCGCUCGGUUUGCUGGCCGUGUGGAAUGACAAAGCGUCCAAGAUACCCUUAGUCACCUCAAGCACCAGAAUCUUUUGUUUUUACUGUAUCAUGAUUGCCAUUAAUCUUUCAUUAAGAAGCUUAGGGACUACGUGUGUCUUCCAAAGUUUCAGCGAUACUCCUACUUCAUCAGGAUGACUUCCAACUAUAAACGAAUAUUUGUAAUAUUUGAAGAAUUGUACAAGUGCUGAUAGCCUUUAUGAUUCCUACGGUUCCACGAGCAGCAUAGUAUUCCUGUGUACAGCUAAUUCAUCUCCAUAUCAUAUACUCUUGAAGAAAGAUUCACGCACUAUGUUGUUCAAAGUUCAUACUUCGUUACAUUGGAAAGCAGUGAAGGGAAAGAAUAGCAGAACAGACCAUUCCACAUAGAACACCAUCAGGGCCAAAUUGGGGUUGUCCUUGUAGUUCCUUCAGGUGGCUUGUAAAGAUUUCAUCAAGGAGCUGAAAUUUUUUUUGUAUGACAUCACAUAUAUAAGGCAGGACAUAUAUAUGUGAGGCUAUUUCUGGAAAUAAAAAGGGGUUUCUUUUGUAAGCCAAA